GUGGGGAAUAUUGGACAAUGGAGGCAACUCUGAUCCAGCCAUGCCGCGUGUGUGAAGAAGGCCUUUUGGUUGUAAAGCACUUUAAGCGAGGAGGAGGCUUACCUGGUUAAUACCUGGGAUAAGUGGACGUUACUCGCAGAAUAAGCACCGGCUAACUCUGUGCCAGCAGCCGCGGUAAUACAGAGGGUGCAAGCGUUAAUCGGAUUUACUGAGCGUAAAGCGCGCGUAGGUGGCUAAUUAAGUCAAAUGUGAAAUCCACGAGCUUAACUUGGGAAUUGCAUUCGAUACUGGUUAGCUAGAGUAUGGGAGAGGAUGGUAGAAUUCCAGGUGUAGCGGUGAAAUGCGUAGAGAUCUGGAGGAAUACCGAUGGCGAAGGCAGCCAUCUGGCCUAAUACUGACACUGAGGUGCGAAAGCAUGGGGAGCAAACAGGAUUAGAUACCCCAGUAGUCC
rnacentral:rRNA from 1 species